GAACUGAAGAGUUUGAUCAUGGCUCAGAUUGAACGCUGGCGGCAGGCCUAACACAUGCAAGUCGAGCGGAUGACGGGAGCUUGCUCCUUGAUUCAGCGGCGGACGGGUGAGUAAUGCCUAGGAAUCUGCCUGGUAGUGGGGGACAACGUUUCGAAAGGAACGCUAAUACCGCAUACGUCCUACGG
rnacentral:rRNA from 1 species